CUCGAACCAUCAUGAGAGGUACAGCCUGCCCAGUGACCCAAUGUUCAACGGCCGCGGUAUCCUAACCGUGCGAAGGUAGCGUAAUCACUUGUUCUUUAAAUGAGGACUAGUAUGAAUGGCAUCACGAGGAUUAUACUGUCUCCUUUUUCCAAUCAGUGAAACUAAUCUCCCCGUGAAGAAGCGGGAAUUAUUUUAUAAGACGAGAAGACCCUAUGGAGCUUUAAACUAACCAGCAUUUGCUUUAUAACAUAACUUUUCAGAAACCUAAAAACAACUCAGCUCUUUGACUAUAAGUUUUCGAUUGGGGUGAUCACGGAACAAAAAAUAACCUCCGUGCCGAAAGGACUCUUCCUGAGCCAAAAGUAACAACCUUAAGCACUAAAAAAUUAACGCUCAUUGACCCAAUAAUUUGAUCAACGAAC
rnacentral:rRNA from 1 species